ensembl:lncRNA
GUUUGGAUCUUCAGUAUGACGGACUCACACUCCGCAAGAGGAAAACUGAACUAACGCCAGAAAACAAAAGCAGCCCAGCAGAGACACCAGGACACGUCAGAGCUGAAGAUGUUUGGGAGCAGCAGUGUUUUUGACUUCAGCUCCAGCAGCUACACCGACUCAAUCCAGUCCAGUGUUUACUCUGGCGAUGAAAACUCGUCUCUGAGCUCCAGGUUAUCCAGACCCAGCGGUAAAGCCAUCUACUGUGAGUGCUCACACCGUACACACAGUUCUGAAGCCUGCAGAGUUC